GACGUAGGGCGCGAGCGUUUGUCCGGAUUUAUUGGGCGUAAAGAGCUCGUAGGCGGCUUGUCGCGUCGUCCGUGAAAACUCACAGCUCAACUGUGAGCUUGCGGUCGAUACGGGCAGGCUAGAGUUCGGUAGGGGAGACUGGAAUUCCAGGUGUAGCGGUGAAAUGCGUAGAUAUCUGGAGGAACACCGGUGGCGAAGGCGGCAUCCUGGACCGGUAUUGACGCUGAGGCGCGAAAGCCAGGGGAGCAAAGCGGG
rnacentral:rRNA from 1 species